GGCCUAGAAAGCCAAGCUGGGGAGGUAGGGAAAGUUUCCCAGAGGGAGCAAUGCUUAGGCUGAAUCGUAAAGUGUGAAUAGAUGAGUGGGCAUUGAGCAGAUGGAAGGGAGCUGGUUGUGGGAAGGCAUUCCAAAUCAAAGCAACUGCACAUGCAAAGACAUAGAAGAUUAAGAGCACAGCAAAUUCAGGGCAUGACAGGUAAAUGCAUCUACUGUUUAUCACCGUCUCCUGUUUGUUGAUGUAUCGUUCGGCUUCCCUACUGGAAUGGAAGUUCCACGUGGCAGGGAUGCUGUUGUGAUUGCCACUGUCUUUCCCAUGCUUAGCACAGUGCUCAUCUUAUAAUAGAGGCACAGUAAAUUAUUGUCAAACGAAUAACAAGUAGCCUGGUAUCACUGGAACCUACCACAUUUGCAGGCAAGAUGAGAAGUAGAGGCUGAGGUAGCAGGCGGGACAUCAAGAGUAGCCUUGUGGAUCAUGGUUGGACACUACCUCGUGGGUGAAGGUGAGCCAUUGAAGGAUUGCAGACGGGAGUACUUUAAUCAGGAUGAAACAUAUUUAUUAGAUGACUCAACAUAUGAGCCCCGGAAGAGACCUCAGAAUCAACUUCUUCAUUGACAAAGUAGAAGGAUACUGAAAUCCAGGAAAGUGACAUUCGUCUAAGGUCACACACCCUGGCAGACCUGGAUGGCCCCACUCAGCCAUAUUCACAAUGGAAAUGAGUUAUAUGCUUAAAAAAAAAAGAAAGAAAACAUCAAAAUAUUUGUAAUUGUUAUGAUCACUGUAGAAAAUAUAGAAAAAGCAAGAAACAACUUAAAAAAAAGGAAGAAAAAAUAUAAAUCAACCAUCAAAACUCACUCACAGCCACCAUAAUCAUGCUGGUGUGUGUAUAUCUUUCCAGACUUUUUUUUUUUUUCUAUUUCCAGUGGUCUUUUGAAUUGACCAACAAGCUCUAAUUUUUCCCAUUUUUCCAUCCACUUGUUCCAGCCUUCCAUGUCAUCCUUCCAUUCUCUCACGGUUCUCUUGAAAUUACAGUUAAAGGACAUAGUAUCUAAGUCGACAAGU
rnacentral:lncRNA from 1 species